UUAGAUUCCAAUAACACUGAAAUUGACUCUCACACAAUUGAGUUGAUUUUAUCUAUCAAUUUAAUUGAUGUGCCACGAUAUAUUUUGUUGAGUCAUAUAUUUUUGCACUUGUGGGGUUUCUAAGGCCUUUGGAAACACUGGAGGUGGAGGAGGGCAGGUAAUUGGUGUCAGUUUAGGUUUAAACACAUGACAUAGGAUCUUUUUUUCUCUGUUGGCUCGCUUUACAUGUGUAUAAUUUAGUGAGAAAACACCAAAAUAAGCCAACCUAGCUCUUGAAGGUUGAGCUUUCUGUUUAGGAAUCCGUAGACAAGUCAAACAAAGAAGAAACUGAAGCACUCUUCAUAUUAUAUUAUGCCAACUUCUAGUGGAUGAUGUGGAUUGAAUAGUGAAACCUUAGUUGUAUGUUAUAUAUACAACAAAAAUCAAACCUUAAAUCUCAGUGGGUAUCCAUAUCAUGCAUACAUAUACAUAUAUAUAUAUAUUGUUCACUGGUAUUCUUUACUUUGGUAGUAUAUUACAGGAUCCCACACCCAUCCCCAAAUUCUGUCCUAGUCCAAUCAACUGCGAACAAGUAAUAUAAAAAUGGAACAAGUGAACAACACCAUAUAGACAUAACAAGUUUCAAAUAAGUUAACUAGGUUAAGAAGGUCCAAUACAAUGAGACUCUCUAUACUUGCUUUGUUUCUCUUUCUGCUAUUCACCUUCAAUGUCAUAUAUCUUGUUCAUGGUGGAGUAGUUAUCAACAAAGAAGUUGUGGGUUCUACCACUACUGUGAGUUUCAAUCUCACUCUCUAUUCUACCUCUUUAAAUUUUUGUUUGGUUUUUCAUGAUUUGUUUUAUAUUUACAAACAUCUUAUCAUGAUUGUUGUAUUUGAUUUCUCUAUCAAGCCAUAAAUGUAUAUUUUACUAUAUCCUAUUUAUGUAAACUUGAAUAAUGUCUUCCAAAAGAUUGGAUUAGUUCAAAGUUUUUGGUGUAAAAGGAUUAUUAUUAUUAUUAUGCAGAGAAAAGCUGGCUGUGGAAAUCAAAGGAGUGAUUGCAUUGAAGGAAAUGGUGGCUCUAAAGAAACUGAAUUUGAGAACGAAGACUAUGUUUACACCAACUCUUUACCUUAGAUGACAUGUUUUUAAUUCGUUCAGUCUUGUAAUGUAAAUUCAUUAUGGAUCAUGUGUUGUUUACAAUCAUUCCAGAUUGUCUAAAGUUAACUUGCCAUAUCAGUAAUUGCAAAGGAUCUAUAAGCUUCUUUUUAUCCAUUGUUUUUAUGGGAUCAGUUCUCUGGAGCAGUUUGUUUAUUGUUGUAAAAACUAGAGAAGAAAGCCUUUUCAGAUUAUGUGUAUCAUAGUUCUGUGUAAAUUUUAGAAAGAUUAUUUAUGCGUCUUAGAUUUCACCUUAUGAUGAAAUGGAAAGAGAAGAAAAAAGACGAUCAAUUUCACAAAACAUGACUUCUAUUCAUAGAUCUCAAGGAUUGCAU
rnacentral:lncRNA from 1 species